CCGGGAGGCUAAUGAGGAGCUGUACAAGCUGACCAGUCCCAGCCCUGCCGUCCACAACACCUUAAAAGCGCUUCUUCUGCUCCUGGGAUACAAAGGCGACACGAAGGAUUGGGGCUACAUCCACUCGCAACUGACCCUUGCCAAGGACAAGCUCAACCAACUGACGCUAAUCAAGCGGAUGGAGUACAUGUCCGAGACAAACUUCCCGUGGGGAAACAUGGACCUGGACACCCUCGACAAUGUCAACUCCAUCGUUCACAAGUACACUUAUCAGCACGUGAGCCACGGAAGUCAGGCUGCCGCUAGCAUGUACAAAUGGAUAGACGCAAUGCUAAUACGGGCCAGAGAUUACUUUAGAAACGCUGCAUCAUACAAAUGAAAACUCUAGAUAGAUUUGACACAAAACUAUUAAUGUAAAAUAUGUUUAUGUCCAUUUAAAUAAGAGACCCUCUGUGAUAUGUGUGAUGAAACACUUAACAUAUUAAUUCCAAAAAGCUCACAAAACAUACGUUACUUUUAAUUAUCUAUUUCUAUCCAGUAGUGACAUGCUUAAUAAGUUAAUAUGGAUUUCAUAUGCACAGCUUCCUAAUUUCAUGAUUGUGAAGUAGUAAUAUUCGCAAU